AGCUCCAAUAGCGUAUAUUAAAGUUGUUGCAGUUAAAAAGCUCGUAGUUGAACUUCAGACCUGGCUGGGCGGUCCGCUUAACGGCGUGUACUGUCUGGCUGGGCCUUACCUCUUGGUGAGCCGGCGUGCCCUUUAUUGGUGUGCGUCGGGGAACCAGGACUUUUACCUUGAGAAAAUUAGAGUGUUCAAAGCAGGCCUAUGCCCGAAUACAUUAGCAUGGAAUAAUAAAAUAGGACGUGCGGUUCUAUUUUGUUGGUUUCUAGAGUCGCCGUAAUGAUUAAUAGGGAUAGUUGGGGGCAUUGGUAUUGAGUCGCUAGAGGUGAAAUUCUUGGAUUGACUCAAGACCGACUAUUGCGAAAGCAUUUGCCAAGGAUGUUUUCA
rnacentral:rRNA from 1 species